rnacentral:rRNA from 1 species
ACAGAUCGUUCAGAGUUUGAUCCUGGCUCAGGACGAACGCUGGCGGCGUGCCUAAUACAUGCAAGUAGAACGCUGAAGCUUGGUGCUUGCACCGAGCGGAUGAGUUGCGAACGGGUGAGUAACGCGUAGGUAACCUGCCUGGUAGCGGGGGAUAACUAUUGGAAACGAUAGCUAAUACCGCAUAACAGUAGAUAUCGCAUGAUAUGUGCUUGAAAGAUGCAAUUGCAUCACUACCAGAUGGACCUGCGUUGUAUUAGCUAGUUGGUGAGGUAACGGCUCACCAAGGCAACGAUACAUAGCCGACCUGAGAGGGUGAUCGGCCACACUGGGACUGAGACACGGCCCAG